UACGUAGGUGGCAAGCGUUGUCCGGAAUUAUUGGGCGUAAAGCGCGCGCAGGCGGUCCUUUAAGUCUGAUGUGAAAGCCCGGGGCUUACCCCCGGAAGUGCAUUGGAGACUGGGAGGCUAGAGUACCGGAGAGGAAGGUGGAAUUCCUGGUGUAGCGGUGAAAUGCGUAGAUAUCAGGAGGAACACCGGUGGCGAAGGCGGCCUUCUGGACGGCUACUGACGCUGAGACGCGAAAGCGUGGGGAGCAAACAGG
rnacentral:rRNA from 1 species